rnacentral:tRNA from 5 species
CGUAGCUCAGUUGGAUAGAGCAACGGCCUUCUAAGCCGUGGGUCGGGGGUUCGAAUCCCUUCG